GGUAGGAGGAGGAGGCUGUCGGCGAUGAGGUCGUCGUUCUCCAGCGGGGACACCAGCGCCGCUGAUCCGUUCGUCUCGCCCCCAUCGUCGUCUUCGAUCGUGACCCUAAGUCUCUGUGGGGAAAAUGGUGACUCUAAGCAUGGAAGUAUGGAACACACAUCUAGGGUUUCGGCAUUGGGGAAUUCGAAUACGCGGCAGGAGAAUAAGAUAGUAAGGGGCGGAGUAAGCGUACUUGCGAACGCGAGGAUGAAGGCGGGCGCUCUGUUGCCGGCGGCUGCUUGCUGCGGAGGCGCCGGGUCGGCUGGCAGGAGGGGCGGCGCGACAUCCUCCAGGCUGGAG
rnacentral:lncRNA from 1 species